CGGGGUGCAGCAGGCGCGAAAACUCCACACUGUACGACAGUACGAUGGGGUUAUCUCGAGUGCAGUCCGAUAAGGGCUGCUUUUCCAUAGAGUAAUAUCCUGUGGGAAUAAGAGGGGGGCAAGACUGGUGUCAGCCGCCGCGGUAACACCAGCCCCUCGAGUGGUGGGGACUAUUAUUUGGUCUAAAGCGUCCGUAGCUGGCUGUAUCCGUCCCCCGUUAAAUCCAGCGUCCUAAGCGUUGGACUGCGGGUGAUACCAUACAGCUAGAGGGUGGGAUAGGUGAGCGGUAUUUCUGGGGUAGGGGCGAAAUCCUUUGAUCCCAGGAGGACCACCAGUGGCGAAGGCUGCUCACUAGAACACGCCUGACGGUCAGGGACGAAAGCUGGGGCAGCGAACCGGAUUAGAUACCCGGGUAGUCCCAGCUGUAAACGAUGCCAGCUAGGUGUUGGGUCGGCCACGCGCCGCCCCAGCGCCGCAGGGAAGCCGUUAAGCUGGCCACCUGGGGAGUACGGCCGCAAGGCUGAAACUUAAAGGAAUUGGCGGGGGAGCAC
rnacentral:rRNA from 1 species